ACGAAAGUCAUCUCUUUGCUUGUCUAUUUUCCGCUAUCGUGUGUGUCAGUUUCCCUCCUUUCAUUUGUUUUCCCUGCUCGCUGCUGCAGCCGCUGCUUUCGUUUUCAGAUCUCAGAUCCCUUCCACUCCGAUACGGCCGGGUGCCUGCUAACGUCCACUUCUCCCUUCUUUUCUAUUCUUCCAUUGUUUUCGAGGUUUGUACGUCUCUCUAUACACACACACACAUAUAUAUAUAUAUAUUAAUUUCGGAAUCUAAGUACCGCUUCUUUCCCCGUUGUGCUGCCCGCUUGCUCACGCGGUACGGGAAACGGAUUACGCCAGCGCACAUCUACACGGUGUGUGUGUGUGUGUGUGUGUGUGUUUGUGCUUUAUUUUUUAGAUCUCUUCGAGCGGUGCUGCUUUCUCUCUCCUGUCAAAUCGCCAUGUUCCCUCCACCUCGCCUGUGGCUUGUGGUGCUGUGGAUAUUCGUCGCUGCUGGGCACUGCGCUUGCAUGGCUGCCGAAGGAAAACUCCGGCCCCCGUAUACGAAGCCAGUGAUCCAAACACGUCAUGACGAUGCCGUCCACCCCGAGAGCGGUGCCUAUGCAUCGGUGCUGCCCGUGAGCCUCAACGCGACCGUGGCGGAUCCGUUCCUGACGCCUGCCACCCUCAUGGAGGGGGUGCGGAGCACCGGGAAAGCGAUCACACCACAGCACAUCUUCACGAAUGCCGCGCUGCGGCUCGUCUUCGACGUGCCAAAUCCUGGUCUGGACUUUGUGAUCAAUCUCACCUCUGCCCAGUACCCACUGCUUCAGGACCCGAACGGCACGCUGUGGCGGUCCGUGCUGCCCUCGAAGAUCGAGGUGGUGAAGCAGAGCAGCAAGUACACCUACGAUGUGGGGAACCUCAACCUGAGGAGCUACCAGUCCCAGUCCGAGUCUGUGGAGGUGGUGGCAGGUGCUCCGGCCGCCGACGCGGAGUGCUUCACCUUGAAAGCGUGCUGUGCAGUGAACUCAAGCUACUACCAGAAGUACGAGCUGGUGGACAGCCCUGUGCCUCCGUACGUGUGCACAGGUGUACCAAUCCCGUACUUGCUGAGGCACUUCACUUUCGGUGUGGACAGCACGGUCAAGUUCCGAGAGGCUGCAGAGGGCGCUUCAUGUGAAAUGAAGGCAAAUCGAUGGACCGAAGAAUCGGCGACGUGCACCGCAAACUCGAAUGCUGUCCUGGCCGGUGUUACGGCAAGUCCUCCGCACAGAUUGCCGUCUCGUGCUUACUCACUGUGCCGCCAAGGAGACAACCUAACGAACUCAGAGUCCGGGUCGUCUCCCAUUCCUGUCGUGAUCACUGCAUUUUGCUCAGAAAGUCGAUGCAUCGGAUACACGCCGGCCAACUACCGCAGCGACAGAAGCACCUGCCUCAACUACCCGCUGGGCUUCUACACCUCUGCAGAUGAAAACAACACAAACCAGUUCAGCUCCUUCGAGGAUAACGCCGCUGCAUUGUGGCCUUAUUUUUUCAACGACUGCAAGUGGAUCGACGACGUCACCAUGUCCUCCCCCACCACGAUCCGAGACAUCAGCUUGCAGUGCGACGUGCCGGCAUCGACGGGGUGGUCGCUCUCGUACGAGAACUUCAGCGCUCACCUCACAGAUACCAUCGCACCGCUCUUUCCGAUUGGCCGUCCGACGCGGGUCGCAGGGCAGUACGCCAGUCCGACGGACAAGGACACCAUCCUGUUUGAGCUCGAGUACGUCUCCUUCUCCAGCUUCAAGGCGGGCAGGUGGACGUUCAGGAUCUGCACGACGCGGCAGUGCGCCACGUCGACCGUUCCGGUGGCGGGUGACACAGGACACUACCCCAAUGUGAUGCGUGUCAACGUCUCCGCGUCCAAGCUAGGCCUCUCCGCAUCGCCCCACGAGCCCGCCGUGGGCGUCGAGGUGUACUCCGCCACCACACCAACGACGAGUCCUUUCCGCACCCUCCUCGCCCCAUCGGUCGUGUACGUGGACAAGGCAGCCACGCCCUUGUCACAGGAUACGGUGAAUAUGACCCUCGCUCGCGACCCGCCAGAGCGUGUCCCCUCUCCGUACGACGCUUCCACAUCGGGGAGGACAACUAGUCGAGUGCUGUGCGAGGGGGACUACCGCUUCUCGACCGUGACGAACAACUGCCAGCCGCUGACGGACGAGGACUGCGCUACAAAGUAUCGCGGCCGUCGCUCGAAGUUCGACCCUGUCGCGAGGGCGUGCGCAUACCCCGUCCCGCCGCUGAAUGGCCCCCUCGUCUUCAAGCCGUUGGCUGAACCGAAGCCGCCGCGCACGUACAGCCCCGAAGAGCUGCGUGCCAUUCUCAAGACCGUGAAGCUGCCGCAGUUUCUCCGCACCAUGGAGAAGUCGUAUGAGGAUUACGAGCGGCAGACGGCACGGUGGGAGGGCCGAUCAGUGAGAUUUCCACCCGGACGAGCCGCAGCCGCUGAGGACACUGACGUUGUUGCUGUUGCCGCCGCAGACGAGUCGGCUGUGACGUACAUCAACGAGUCCCCAAUGCCUGGGGCACGAGGCCUGAGCGUUACUUGCAUCGCGGCGACAUGUGUCCUGUGGACGGUGGCACUGCUGCGAGACGUGCUUGAAAAGCUUUUUGGACUGGGCCCGUGGCAUGAUCAGCGCCGGUGCGCGUUUUUCGCGGGUGCAGUGAACUGCUGGCAUUGGCUCAGCGGGGCAUGCGCAGAGGGCCACAAUGAGGCACGGCCACGGCAGCGGCGUGCCACGAGCAAUACCACGGCCACGCCAACGACUGCCCAGCCCUCCGCUCCUCGAAGCGCGACACAGAGCGGGCAGAGCGGUCAACAUGCCAAUCCUGCGCUCCAGAAGCGGAAAGGAAAGGGCGCGACAUUCACGGCAGACACGCCGUUGCAGUCUACAAGGAAGUCUCCUCAUGGGGCGCCUCGAGAACCCGUCACCUCAGCUCCGUUCCAGCCGAGAGACCCAACAGCCACACCGCAGCGCGAGAAGCAGGACGGUGGGCAGAAGAGGCAUCUCCCGCGCACGCACAACAGUCGCGAUGCCGAGCGAGAACAUCGACAGAGCGUAUCGGCAGGUACAACGGGUCCGGCCUCUUCGUGGGGUGACGCACGCCACUACGUCUCCGCAGCGCACCCGCCGGCCUACGACGUCUUUGGCUUUUCGGAAGCGCCACACGCGCCGUUUGGCAGCGGGGCAGGGUUUGCUGCCCCGGGUGACAUGCCCUUCUUGGGGGGCGACUACACGGGCCAGAGAGUCUGGCUUUCUGAUGAGGGCGUGGGCUUGGGGUACGUGCCAGCUGCCUUUGCCCGGCCACACUCCACAUCGUCGCAUCGAUGCCACAGCUGCCCGUCUUCGCCCUAUCCGACUUCCUCUCCCCCGUCGCCGGAGUGGCACCCCUUCGAGGAUGUCUACCCCACAGUCCCGUCUCCCUGCUACGCCCCGUACGACGCCCCUCUGCCAGAGUUCAGUCUGAAUCCGUCGUCGACGUCAUACCCCGGCUUCGCCCGCGCCGCGCCGCCGUCGCCGUUUGCCGGGUUCGACGCGUUCCCUCCAGUCUCCUCGGUGCGGCAGUCCUCCCGUGUGGAGGUUCUUUCAUCGGACACCGAUGGAGCGCACGGCGACAACCGCGCGGCGGAAGCGCCGUCUCCAGCGGGUCGCACACGUCGCCCAAACAGCAUGGUCUGACACCGUGCAACGGGGGAGAGAAGGGGGAAGGAAAGGUCAGCCCCAGAGGAGACGGGCGUGCGGCAACGCAUGACCCUCUCGGCACGAGUCGCCAAGUGUUUGCCGCGCUUCGGCCGUUCUCUGAUCUUCAUGUGCUCUCCGUGUCUUGGUACUGCCGUUUUCCAAAUUAAAAAAAAAGAAGAAACAUACUUGUCGUUCCUUGCUCAGAUUUCAGCUCCUAUUCUUUCCUUCGCUCAUCGUAACAGCGCCUACGCGUGCGCGUCACUUCUCUCUGCCCCUCCCCUCGUCCUGUACGGCACUUCCCACACCUCCUUUUGUUUUCGUUUUCGACGAGCUCUGAUGCGCCUCUGCAUUGCCCGUUUCACCUCCUGCCCAUCGCCGCUCCUCACCACUCCGCGGCUGCUUUCAG
rnacentral:misc_RNA from 1 species